rnacentral:rRNA from 1 species
AUUGAACGCUGGCGGCAGGCCUAACACAUGCAAGUCGAGCGGAGCGGCGGAAGGGUGAGUAAUGCCUAGGAAUCUGCCUGGUAGUGGGGGAUAACGUCCGGAAACGGGAGAUAAUACCGCAUACUAUCAGAUGAGCCUAGGGCGGAUUAGCUAGUUGGUGGGGUAAAGGGCUACCAAGGCGACGAUCAGUAAGUGGUCUGAGAGGAUGAUCAGUCACACUGUAACUGUGACACGGGCCAGAUUCCGACGGGAGGCAGCAGGUGGGAAUAUUCGACAAUGGUCGAAAGCCUGAUCCAGCCAGGCCGCGUGGGGGAAGAAGGUCUUCGGAGUGUAAAGCACUGUAAGUUGGGAUGCGUUACCAACAGAAUAAGCACCGGCUAACUACGUGCCAGCCGCCGCGGUAAUAC